AAGGAUUUAAGUUAGGCAAACUAUCAGCCUUCAAAGUUGAAAUCAGAAUUACUGUUAUUCUAAGCCUUA
rnacentral:tRNA from 1 species